UUUCCGUAGGUGAACCUGCGGAAGGAUCAUUCAUAAUAAGUGUUUUAUGGCACUUUUUUAAAUCCAUAUCCACCUUGUGUGCAAUGUCAGGGUUGAUUUUUCUCUCGAGAGGAUCAACCCCAAACAUCAACUAUAUCUCAACUCUUUGUCUGAGAAAUAUUAUGAAUAAAACAAUUCAAAAUACAACUUUCAACAACGGAUCUCUUGGUUCUC
rnacentral:misc_RNA from 1 species